rnacentral:rRNA from 1 species
UACGGGGGGGUGCGAGCGUUGUCCGGAAUCACUGGGCGUAAAGGGCGCGUAGGUGGUGUCGUAAGUUUGUGGUGAAAGCCCGGGGCUCAACCCCGGGUCUGCCGCGAAUACUGCGAGACUUGAGUGCUGUAGAGGCGGGUAGAAUGCCGGGUGUAGCGGUGGAAUGCGUGAGAGAUCCGGCAGAAGACCGGUGGGCGAAGGCGGCCCGCUGGGCAGUAACUGACACUGAGGCGCGACAGCGUGGGGGAGCAAACAGG